AUUUAAAAUCUGGCGGUCUUUGGCCGUGCGAGUUGUAAUCUAGAGAAGUGUUACCCGCGUCGGACCGUGUACAAGUCUCCUGGAAUGGAGCGUCAUAGAGGGUGAGAAUCCCGUCUUUGACACGGACUACCGAGGCUUCUGUGGUGCGCUCUCAAAGAGUCGAGUUGUUUGGGAAUGCAGCUCAAAAUGGGUGGUAAAUUCCAUCUAAAGCUAAAUAUUGGCGAGAGACCGAUAGCGAACAAGUACCGUGAGGGAAAGAUGAAAAGAACUUUGGAAAGAGAGUUAAACAGUACGUGAAAUUGCUGAAAGGGAAACGCUUGAAGUCAGUCGCGUCGUCCGGGAAUCAGCCUUCCUUCUGGUUGGCGUACUUCCUGGUCGACGGGCCAGCAUCAGUUUUGACCGGUGGAAAAAGUUGUAGGGAAUGUGGCACCUCCGGGUGUGUUAUAGCCCUGCUUCGUAUACAUCGGUUGGGACUGAGGAACUCAGCACGCCGCAAGGCCGGGAUUCGUCCACGUUCGUGCUUAGGAUGCUGGCAUAAUGGCUUUAAUCGACCCGUCUUGAAACACGGACCAAGGAGUCUAACAUGCCUGCGAGUGUUUGGGUGGAAAACCCGAGCGCGUAAUGAAAGUGAAAGUUGAGAUCCCUGUCAUGGGGAGCACCGCGCCCGGCCAGACGUUCUCUGACGGUUCUGCGGUAGAGCAUGUAUGUUGGGACCCGAAAGAUGGUGAACUAUGCCUGAAUAGGGUGAAGCCAGAGGAAACUCUGGUGGAGGCUCGUAGCGRUUCUGACGUGCAAGAUCGAUCGUCAAAUUCUGGGUAUAGGGG
rnacentral:rRNA from 1 species